rnacentral:rRNA from 1 species
CCCUUAGAUGUUCUAGGCCGCACGCGCGCUACACUGAUGCAUUCAACGAGCCUAUCCUUGACCGACAGGUCCGGGUAAUCUUUGAAUCUGCAUCGUGACGGGGAUAGAUUAUUGCAAUUAUUAAUCUUCAACGAGGAAUGCCUAGUAGGCGCAAGUCAUCAGCUUGCGUCGAUUACGUCCCUGCCCUUUGUACACACCGCCCGUCGCUCCUACCGAUUGGGUGUGCUGGUGAAAUGUUCGGAUCGGCCGUUUGUCGCGGUUUCCGCGUCAUGUGGCUGAGAAGUUCAUUAAACCCUCCCACCUAGAGGAAGGAGAAGUCGUAACA